ensembl:lncRNA
UCCCUGCUUUUGUCCUUCGCCCCACAGGGAGUGAGCCAGAAGGCCAGACAAGAGGGCUGCCACUAUGGUCGCUCUGGACACUUCCAAAAUGAAGGCUCCGUCGUGGAUGUUGGUCAGGCUACCCACGUCACUGUAGUACCAGCCCACUCUCCUGACUCACCAGCAGCGAUGUACCGGACUCCAGCACCCACCUUAUGGAUCUAAUAAACUUGGGAAAACACUGGCCUGCUUCUGAGAAACUAAAUUGUGCAGUGGAUUCAUCACGACAGCCAGGGCAAUGUAUAUUCUGUGCAGAGGGUUUCUGAAGACGCAUAUCAGGACUCAACACUGUAGUCAUGAGGAACAGGAAGGGCUUUGUUCUCUGUCCGGCUGGCACCUCAGUACGGGCCCCUUGGUACUCUGUUUGGUGGGGAACAACACAAAGCACAUCAAUUGACCUUUUGAUUGACACAGAAAUCAAGCCAGCAUGAUCUGCAUUAAAAAAGUGAGAGGACAGCACAGGCCCGUGGAGUAGGCCGAGAGCAGGCGACCUAGCCAGCCUGGCAUGGUCAAAACUAGGUCCAAAGAUCACUGUGUUCAGUUACAUUUUCAAUGA